rnacentral:ncRNA from 1 species
CCUGUAAUGCGAGUCAAUGGGUCUUGACCAGGCCCAAAGGCACAAUAAAAGCAAAGGGCGGCAGAACACCGUCUGAGUUGGUAUCCUGGGGCUUCCAGCGUCCAAAGGAGCACCAACAACCCGUCCUGUCCGAUUUAUCUCGGUUGGGCGCAGUUUGAGCGUCCACGCUGGGACCCGAAAGAUGGUGAACUAUGCUCGGACAGAACGAGGCCAGGGAGAACUCUGGUGGAGGUCCGUAGCAGUUCAGACGUACAACUUGAUCAUCAGGUCCGGGUCUAGGAGCAAAAGACUAACCGAAACUUCUAGUAGCUGG